rnacentral:rRNA from 1 species
CCUACGGGAGGCUGCAGUCGAGAAUCAUUCACAAUGGGGGAAACCCUGAUGGUGCUACUCCGCGUGUGGGAAUGAAGGUCUUCGGAUUGUAAACACUUGUCAUGUGGACACAAAUUAAAAAGAUAAUACCACAAGAGGAAGAGGCGGCUAACUCUGUGACAGCAGCCGCGGUAAUACCGAGGGCUCAAGCGUUGUUCGGAAGCACUGGGCGUAAAGGGUGCGUAGGCGGUUUCGUAAGUCGUGUGUGAAAGGCGCGGGCUUAACCCGAGGACGGCACAUGAGACUGCGAGACUAGAGUAAUGGAGGGGGAACUGGAAUUCUCGGUGUAGCAGUGAAAUGCGUAGAUAUCGAGAGGAACACUCGUGGCGAAGGCGGGUCCCUGGACAUUAACUGACGCUGAGGCACGAAGGCCAGGGGAGCGAAAGGGAUUAGAUACCCUUGUAGUC